rnacentral:lncRNA from 1 species
GUGUAUCAGAGAGAGGAUAUAAAGAUUCACACAAGAAUAUUUAUAUUGGUUCACUCUUAACCAAGAGUUAUCUCUAGUUCUCAGCUAACCACUGAGAAUUCACUAAGUAAUCAAAACAAGAUUAUAAAACACACACCAACAGUGUUUAUCUUGAAACCCUCAAGAGCACACAACACUCCUUGGCAACACCACAGUUUUCAGAAAUCCUUUUUGAAACUGCCAUACACAGAUUUACAGUGUUCAAAAGAAGGAAAUAGAAUACACUUGAGUUUUUACAAAGCAGUAGUACAAAAGUAUAGAAAACCCAAUUUCUAUUUCACACACAGGUGAUGAUCCAAAAGCUCUUCAUUCUAUUGAAAAUGUUUUUACUAUUCUCUCUUUCUUAGGUACUUGAAAAGAUCAUAAAACUGUCUUUAUAUAGACUCAAAGAAGUGGUCAAAAUUGUUAGAUCAUUUAAAAAUAAUGGACUGGGAUUUAAUCCAAACAGCAAGAACAAAUAUUUUUCAAAGCCUUUCUCAUGUUUCUGUGAAAACAACAGGUUAAAAUCUAUUUUUACUGCAUGAGAAGGGGCCACACUGUUAAAAUUUGUAGAGUUAGGAGGUUUUUUGUUCCUAAAGGUCUCUUGAAAUGAGUUCCUAAGAUUUCUAAGGUUUCUAAGGUCCUAGUUAAUGCCUAUGGACCCAAAUUUACUAGGGGACCAAAUCUUGUUGUUUGGUCUUGUUUCUUGGGGGGUCCCUUGACAGCCAAUAAACAUCUAUGGUACCUGGACAACGGUUGUUCUAAGCAUAUGACAGGAGAUAAAAGCAAAUUUGCCAAUCUUUUCCUUAAGCAAGAAGGUCAUGUUACAUACAGGGACAACAACAAAGGGAAAAUUAUUGGAAGAGGAAGCAUUGGAGACAAGAAUACCCUAUUGAUUAGUGAUGCGUUGUUUGUAGAAAGACUAAAGCAUAGUCUUCUCAGCAUAAGCUGUGUGACAAAGGUUAUCAAAUAACCUUCAAUCCCAACACUUGUGAGAUAUGCUAGCCCAAUCACAGGAAGUAUUGUUGACUGGUAAAAGGAUCAAUAAUGUCUAUUUGCUUGAUAUUUCACAUUCUGCAUCUAUAAGUUGCCUUCUAACCAAACAUGAGGAAUCAUGGUUAAGGCAUAGAAGGAUAGCACACCACAUGCAUAAUCUAAAUAAGUUUAUUUCAAAAGAUCUAGUUGUUGAUUUACCCAAACUCAAGUUUGAGAAAGACCAUAUAUGUGAAGCAUGUCAAAAGGGGAAGCAAAUUAAACAUAUAAUUUUAAAUUGAAAAAUAUAAUUUCAACUUCCAAACCUCUUGAACUGCUGCACAUGGAUUUGUUUGGUCAUGUAAGAACCACGAGUCUUGGUGUAAACUACUAUGCACUUGUAAUAGUUAAUGAUUUCUCCAGGUUCACAUGAACACUACUUUUGGAAUCCAAGAGUGAUGCAUUUUCUGCCUUUGAAAAGCUUGCUAAGAGAUUGCAAAAUAAGUGCUCCACUAACAUUUGUGCCAUGUGCAGUGAUCAUGGGGGAAUUUCAAAACAAAAUUCAGUUGCUUUUGUAAAAAUCUGGGCAUUUUUCAUAAUUUGUCUGCUCCUAAAAUUUUCCAACAAAAUGGAAUUGUGGAAAGGAAGAACAAGUCUCUUGAGGAACUUGCUAGAACCAUUUUUAGUGAAUCUUCUUUGCCAAAAUAUUUUUGGGCUGAUGUUGUUAACACAACUUCCUAUGUAAUGAGUAGUGUCCUCGUUAGACCAUUUUGAAGAAAAUCCCUUAUGAACUGUUUAAUGGGAGAAAACCCAACAUUGGUCAUCUAAAUUUUUUUGUUGCAAAUGUUAUAUUCUAAAUAAUGGGAAGAAAAACCUUGACAAGUUUGAUGAGAAAGCGGAUAGUGAUAUCUUUCUUGGUUAUUCUGUAAGUAACCAUGCUUAUAAAGUUUAUAACAAAAGAUUAAUGAUUGUGGAAGAGUCCAUUCAUGUUGUUUUUGAUGAAGCUAACCAUACAAAAUAGGACUCUAUAAAAAAAUAUGCAGAAGAAGAUGAUCAGAAUACAAUUUUGCAGAAGAUGGAGGCCUACCCAUAAAAACAACCGGUUGAAACUGCGAAACAACCUAUUGAAUUUUUGCAUCAGGAUGAUCUUUCCAAAGAAUGGAGAAUUCCAGGAGACCUUUCUAUGGACAACAUCAUUGGACAAAUUGAUAAGGGAGUCUCCACUCGAAAAUCUAUCUCUAAUUUCUGCAAACACGUGACUUUUGUCUCUCAAAUUGGACCUAAAACCAUUUGUGAUGCUCUUAAAAGAUGAAAAUUGGGUUGUUGCCAUGCAUGAUUAACUGAAUCAAUUCACUAGAAAUGAUGUGUGGUUUCUUGUUCCUAAAUCUGAUUGCAUGAAUUUCAUUGGAACUAAGUGGGUGUUUAGAAAUAAGUUGGAUGAAUCUAGAGUAAUAAAUAUUAACAAAGCUAGGUUGGUUGCCAAGGGGUAUAAUCAAGAAUAAGGCAUUGAUUAUGAUGAAAUCGUUGUUCCUAUGGCUAGAUUAGAAGCUAUGAGGUUAUUACUUGCAUUUGCUUGUAUGAGUGACUUUAAACUUUUUCAGAUGGAAGUGAAGAGUGCAUUCAUCAAUGAAGAAGUUUAUGUCUACCAACCUCCCGACUUUGAAGAUCACAAACAUCCUAACCAUGUGUACAAGCUGAAAAAGGCAUUAUAUGGAUUGAAGCAGACCCCAAGAUAGUGGUAUGAGAGGCUUAGCAGUUUGCUCUUAUCUCAUGGCUAUGAGAGAGGAAAAAUGGAUUAAGACUCUUUUUAUUAAAAAGUCUAAAUUUGUCAUCAUCUUAGUUCAAAUCUAUGUUGAUGAUGUCAUCUUUGGGGCUACUAAUGAUUGCCUAUGUGAGGAAUUUGUUACAACUAUGCAAGGAGAAUUUGAAAUGUCCAUGAUGGGGGAGUUAUCAUUCUUCUUAGGGUUGCAGGUCAAACAAUUAAAGAAUGGAAUCUUCCUAAGUCAAGCAAAGUACUGCAAGGAGAUUCUCAAAAAGUUUGAAAUGGAAAACUACAAAGAGGCCUCCACACCAAUGUCAACAAACUGCUACAUGGAUGCAGACUUGGCUGGAAAAGUAGUGGAUCAAACAAAAUUUAGAUGAUUGAUUGGAUCCUUACUAUAUUUCACUGUUAGCAGGCCUAAUAUCAUGUUUGUUGUUUGCCUAUGUGCCAGAUUUCAAUCAAAUCCAAAAGAAUCCCACUUCAAAGAUGCCAAACGAAUCUUGAAAUAUCUCAGAGGCACAACUAGUGUUGGUUUAUGGUAUCCCUCUCCCUCUCCUAUAAAUCUGGUUGGAUAUUCUGAUUCUGAUUUUGCAGGUGCAAACUGGAUAGAAAGAGCAUAAGUGGAAGAUGUCAUCUUCUUGGAUCAAGCCUCAUAUCUUGGCAUAACAAGAAGCAAGCUUGUGUGGCUCUCUCAAUUGGAAAAGCUGAAUAUAUAGUUGCUGGCAUCUAUUAGGAACAAGCUAAAAUGAUACCUACAUCCCCUAUUAUGCUAUAGGCACCUUAUUCUAGCCUGUCUUUGCUAUUUGGACCCCUAAAGUGAGCCCAAAUUAUUUACAACUUGUUUUAUUCUUUAAGAAGACCAGCAGGAAGAAUAUUAGAUGCUCUGGUUUGUGUCCAUUUCUUUCUCUAGUGAGGUUUCCUAAAUCCUUGGUGAGGUCUUCACUUGAUUGAUAAAAUGACUUCUCAUAGUGUGCAUCCUUUGUCAUCUCCUUGUUGGCUUGGUUUGCAUCACUGAGGCUGCCCAUUUUUUCCCUUUUCCCAUCCUACCCCUCUUUCUUGUUUUCCAAGGCACCUUCACCUAUUAAUAGGAGGUCUACCCAUUGUAUUUUGCAAGUUGAAUUUGAAUGAAGUAGAGAAACUCUGCACAAAUUGUGUGAGCUCUUAGUGAGACUUAUGUCCUCUUAGGUUUGAGGUCUUAUCUUGAGUGAUUUGGGAAGCUCCCAAGUGGCGACCAACACACUCAUCUUGGAGCACAUCACACUCCAAGUGGCGUGAAAUUUCUCACCCGCUAUCAUAAGUUUUCUCAUUCCAUUUUCCUUGCAUUUCUCCAUUCCAUUUUAUGUGUUUGUCUCUUAGUUUAUAUUCUUUGUUUCUCUUAGGUUUCGCUCAUAAUAAUGAGUAUGGUGCAUCAUUUGGAAGGCCAUGACCACCAUUGAUGUUAACCUUGUGCCCAUUUUCAAUUUCGCAAUUGCAUAUCAUCCUCACCACAUCUUGUUUUUCAUUUUUGACUCUGUGAAGUGAACCUUCACACUUACUUAACCCCUUGGUUAAGUUCGUGUCCAGUGGGAAUCUUCCUUAGGUCCUCACUAUUAAUUGUUAAAAUCAUAAUCUUAAGUCAAAGUGUCACCAUAAAUGAAAACAUCUAAAAAUCAACUCACAUCACUCUUCUUUGUCUAUCCUAACAUACUACUAUGAAAUAAAAUACUACAAUAACUUAACAGUCAAAUACAAAGCCACCAAGUAACCCCAACAUGAAAUACCAAAAUAUAUUGUUUUAAGUGUGUGCAAGAAAUUGACUUUGACUCAUACAAGGAUCAGCACGUGCCAAAUAACACGGAUCACCCAACACAAAUCACACAACAUGAAUGUUUCACUUAAUAAAGAAAUGAAUAGAAAAUUGUAUUACCUUUUGGUCACCAAUUCAUAAAUCCAACACCUUGAAAAGAGUUGCAAAAGUGAUGAACGUUGGAAGAGAAGAUGGAGGAGAAAACUUGAGAAGAAGGUGAAAGAGGAUGCCCACGACACUGGACAACUGAACCAGAGUAGCAAGCCACUGGAGAAUGAAAGAGAAAAAAAGGCAACGUAUGAAUAUGAAGGAGAAAAAGUGCACGAAAAAGGAAGAAAAUGAAGAACAAAGUGAAUUUUGUGAAAGAGAAAGAGUGUCUCAAUUUGUUUUGUCCUAAUUUCACAUUCUGACCUAAACCUAAAUGUUAAACCUAUUCAAAACUAUCGAUUGUUGAACCAUAUUUUUUUUUUU